rnacentral:lncRNA from 1 species
GCAUGGCGACAUGUACGAAGUAUAUGAUGUCAUGUGCUCAACACCCUACACAUAAAAUCUCAGUUUACCGAACGAUUUACUCUGGCAUUGACCCAGCGUUGACUCAUCAGAACCAAAAACGAUAACCGAUCGGUUUAACUAACCAAAAUUUAUGACCCGAUCCGGUUUAAUUUUCUGGGUCAAAAUUAUUGGGCCUUAAUUUAACCAAAUAUUUUGGCCUUUUUACUCUAAAACCACAGACGAAAAGAAAUUAAUUUGUUACCAUAAUUAUUGAUUUCUUUCGAAUAUACCAAAAUCUUUCCUCUGCAACUCCUAAAAGCUAAAAUCCUCAGACAGAAAAAUAAAAGAGAGAACUUGUUGUGGCAGUUGAAGCAGAAAAAAAAAAAAAAAAAAAAAAAAA